rnacentral:rRNA from 1 species
UACGGAGGGUGCGAGCGUUGUCCGGAAUCAUUGGGCGUAAAGGGCGCGUAGGUGGCCCGGUCAGUUCGUGGUGAAAGCGCGGGGCUCAACCCUGCGUCGGCCAUGAAUACUGCCGCGGCUGGGGCACUGUAGAGGCAGGCGGAAUUCCGGGGUGUAGCGGUGGAAUGCGUAGAGAUCCGGAAGAACACCGGUGGCGAAGGCGGCCUGCUGGGCAGUUAGCUGACACUGAGGCGCGACAGCGUGGGGGAGCA